CGGAAAAGGCAAAGAAGUCGUACCCGACGAGUAGUGAUCGGGGCGCUUAGAAAGCUUUUAGUUUGUACAAACGGUGAGUAAACUUAUUAUUAUUGUAAAUUAUCUAGAGUUUAUUUUUAAAUGCCCUUUAUGUGUAUUUUAUGAAAUGAGAACGAGAUUAAAUGGAUUUUUGAUGUUUUAGGAAUAAAUGUGACAAAUAAAAAUAUAUUAUAUUGAUUAUGAAAUUGAGUAAUUGGAGGCUGCAAAUUGACUUGAAAAAUAUAUAUUUUCCUAGGAAUGGCUUAUGAGAAAUGAGUAUAUGUGUCUAUAUUUUGUGAGUGCAUUGGAAAAUUUAUGUAAGUUGUUUUUACUAUGCAGGCUGGAUAAAUAAAUAAAAGCCACGUUAUACUGUCGAAAUUUUAUUAAAAUUGGUGGGUUAGUCACUGCAGUGACGGGUUUUCGUGGACUGCCUAUUAGAGGGGCACGGUAAAUCCAGUUAUAUAGUUACUCCGGUUGUAGAGGCGAGGAGGGUAACUCCCGGGGUAGUAUUAGAGCUCACUUCACGUCGAACCCCCACGUGAAUGUGUAACUCGGCCAACGCCAAGGGACGGCUUGUUUUAAAAAUAAAAAUGUGUUUCACGUGUGAAUAUUUUAACACCCUUGGCGGACUUUGUUAGAUGCCUCGACCAAGGUAUCCCCGAGGAUUAGUUUUGGCUUAAGCCUUGUUUUAAUAAAAGACAUAAGCCUUAACAACUGUUUUGGUAAAUUACAAAUAUUUUAUGGUUUAAGAAACAAAUUGAAAACAUUAUGAAAUGGGUUGAAAUUUGUUGUUUAAACUUGCCUCCAUUUUACUCACCUUUAGAUAUUUAUGAUAAUGUCUGUUUACUCAUUGGAAUUGCAAAAUCUCACCCAACUCAUUUCCACCCAUUUCAGGUUCAGUAUAGACUGUAGAUAGCUGAUCUCAUCGAGGACUACCAUUGGAUCUUCAUUUUCCAAACCGUAGGUUCACAGUCCUCUUUACUUUUGUUUAUUCGGGGGCCCUCUUGUUAUUGUAAAUUAAAUUAAAUAUUUUAGCUUACUGUAUUUCAGUAUGUAUAAAUUUAUUUAGCUUUUACGCUAUAAAAAUUAUUCACGUAUAACUCUAUAAAUAUUGUUUUAUAAGAAAAUAGAAUAUUUU
rnacentral:lncRNA from 1 species